CAGGCUUAACACAUGCAAGUCGAGGGGUAGAAGUCUUCGGGCUUUGAGACCGGCGCACGGGUGCGUAACGCGUAUGCAAUCUGCCUUUCACAGAGGGAUAGCCCAGAGAAAUUUGGAUUAAUACCUCAUAGCAUUACAGGAUGGCAUCAUCCUGCAAUUAAAGUCACAACGGUGAAAGAUGAGCAUGCGUCCCAUUAGCUAGUUGGUAAGGUAACGGCUUACCAAGGCGACGAUGGGUAGGGGUCCUGAGAGGGAGAUCCCCCACACUGGUACUGAGACACGGACCAGACUCCUACGGGAGGCAGCAGUGAGGAAUAUUGGUCAAUGGACGCAAGUCUGAACCAGCCAUGCCGCGUGCAGGAUGACGGUCCUAUGGAUUGUAAACUGCUUUUGCACAGGAAGAAACACUCCGACGUGUCGGAGCUUGACGGUACUGUGAGAAUAAGGAUCGGCUAACUCCGUGCCAGCAGCCGCGGUAAUACGGAGGAUCCAAGCGUUAUCCGGAAUCAUUGGGUUUAAAGGGUCCGUAGGCGGUCUUGUAAGUCAGUGGUGAAAGCCCAUCGCUCAACGGUGGAACGGCCAUUGAUACUGCAGGACUUGAAUUAUUGGGAAGUAACUAGAAUAUGUAGUGUAGCGGUGAAAUGCUUAGAGAUUACAUGGAAUACCAAUUGCGAAGGCAGGUUACUACCAAUUUAUUGACGCUGAUGGACGAAAGCGUGGGUAGCGAACAGGAUUAGAUACCCUGGUAGUCCACGCCGUAAACGAUGGAUACUAGCUGUU
rnacentral:rRNA from 1 species